rnacentral:snoRNA from 1 species
AUCCUUUUGUAGUUCAUGAGUGUGAUGACUGGGUGUUCACAUGCCUGCAUGAUGUGUGCCUCCCUCAAGCCUUUUUACGACAUAGGCACAUUACCCUUCUGACG